rnacentral:rRNA from 1 species
UACGAAGGGGGCUAGCGUUGCUCGGAAUUACUGGGCGUAAAGGGCGCGUAGGCGGAUAUUUAAGUUGGGGGUGAAAUCCCGGGGCUCAACCUCGGAAUUGCCUUCAAAACUGGAUAUCUUGAGUUCGGGAGAGGUGAGUGGAACUCCGAGUGUAGAGGUGAAAUUCGUAGAUAUUCGGAAGAACACCAGUGGCGAAGGCGACUCACUGGCCCGAUACUGACGCUGAGGCACGAAAGCGUGGGGAGCAAACAGG